rnacentral:tRNA from 1 species
GUUUUUUUAGUAUAAAUUAGUAUAUUUGAUUUCCAAUUAAAAGGUCUAUAAUUAAAUAGAAUAAAUA